rnacentral:lncRNA from 1 species
GUGUAAAUUGUAGAAUUCACUUGGUUUUGACAGAAACAAGUUUUUCAGGAUCGAAUUAGGUUGACUUUUAAAAAUAUUUCUUAUCCCAUAGAGUGUAUCUCCAUGGUGUCAUUUUCUGUCUUUCUGGGUCUCUUUCAUUUAGAGCCAGAGAGAGAGAGUAAAUAGUACUCAGAAGUAUUACUCAAUAGUAAAUCACGGAAUGGAGGUUGAUGAGUAAGUAAAGUCUUGUGUAAAACUAAAUGCUAGUAAGUAGAACCCACCCUUCUGGUGAACAGCAAUUUUCCAAUAAACAUAAGCCUUGAUGAAAAAGCCACUUAAGGACAGCUGUGUACUAUGAAUAUUUAACUUCAUUUAUUUGCCUUGCUUAGCAUUUUACUUACUGUCUUGCCAUGAAACUUAGUAUUGCACUGUAUACAUUUUAGAAUAGUGGUAAAAAUGUUCUGUAGUACUGAAAAUAACCAACAUAGAACACCAAGCCAGUGUGGUGAUUUCUCCUGAUAUGUCAAAAUUCUAUAUUUCAGUGAUGGCUGUUUUGGUCUUUGAUUCACCUAUGUGUCAGUCCUGCUAGAGAGACAGAUUAGUAUCUUAGCUUUUUUUAAAAUAGAGAUUAUGAUGACCUUGGUAGUUUUCCCAUGAAGUGAUUGUGUGAUUAAAUUAUUGAAUGUAAUGAGACCCUUAAUUAGAAAAUCUUUUAAUACAACUUUCUCUUUUACGUUUCCAUUCUCUUCUUGAUUUUUGACAUCUAUUCUCAGAAAAUGUCAUGAUUUUUAAUGAAAUUGGAUAUGUUUAAGAAAUUCCAUUUCUGACAGAAUCUCAGUCUUUCUCAUAAACAUAAUAGUUUUGGUACAGGCUUUUCUUUGACAUAUGAUCUCAAAGUAGAGUUGAGCAAUCUAAUAUGAACUAUCUUAAUAAAACAUAAUUUAGUAUUUCUGUAAAGCAUUUUCAAAAG